UCGGGAAUCUUGCACAAUGGGCGAAAGCCUGAUGCAGCGACGCCGCGUGGGGGAUGAAGGCCUUAGGGUCGUAAACCCCUUUCAGCAGGGACGAAAAUGACGGUACCUGCAGAAGAAGCCCCGGCCAACUACGUGCCAGCAGCCGCGGUAAGACGUAGGGGGCGAGCGUUGUCCGGAUUUAUUGGGCGUAAAGAGCUCGUAGGCGGUUGCGUAAGUCGGAUGUGAAAACUCAGGGCUCAACCCUGAGACGCCAUCCGAUACUGCGCUGACUUGAAUCCAGUAGGGGAGUGUGGAAUUCCUGGUGUAGCGGUGAAAUGCGCAGAUAUCAGGAGGAACACCCAUGGCGAAGGCAGCACUCUGGGCUGGUAUUGACGCUGAGGAGCGAAAGCAUGGGUAGCGAACCGGAUUAGAUACCCUUGUAGUCCCUGAGCGGGCUGGCAAGGCGCAU
rnacentral:rRNA from 1 species